AGCGAACGCUGGCGGCAGGCUUAACACAUGCAAGUCGAACGAACAUCUUCGGAUGUCAGUGGCAGACAGGUGAGUAACACGUGGGAACGUACCCUUCGGUUCGGAAUAACUCAGGGAAACUUGAGCUAAUACCGGAUACGCCCUUUUGGGGAAAGGUUUACUGCCGAAGGAUCGGCCCGCGUCUGAUUAGCUUGUUGGUGGGGUAACCGCCUACCAAGGCGACGAUCAGUAGCUGGUCUGAGAGGAUGAUCAGCCACACUGGGACUGAGACACGGCCCAGAAUCCUACGGGAGGCAGGAGUGGGGAAUAUUGGACAAUGGGCGGAAGCCUGAUCCAGCCAUGCCGCGUGAGUGAUGAAGGCCUUAGGGUUGUAAAGCUCUUUUGUCCGUGACGAUAAUGACGGUACCGGAAGAAUAAGCCCCGGCUAACUUCGUG
rnacentral:rRNA from 1 species